rnacentral:lncRNA from 1 species
GGAAUAUCUUCCAAUUAUAGUGAUGAUUCUCCAUAUAGCUGGUCAUUUCCACCUUAUCAUCCCUCCUCUGAAAAGUAUGAAAACACCAAGGUAAGGAUGUGAAAGAGGUGGUAUUCUGUAGAGGAACUGCUUUUUUUUCCUGUUUAGCAAAUUAAGGUUAACUUCUGUAUGUGUCACAUGUUCUUUCAGGUUGGUUAUACAGUGAAGUCUGUGAUCAUGACGUGGCAGAGACAGAUGUCGGGAUCUUUAGCAUUAGAUCCGCUGGGAGAGGUGGCUUCGUUUUAGAAGCACAUGGAUAUGGCUUGUUCUAGAACCUUAUGCUCUAGUGUGUAAGGCUCAUUUAAUGGCUGCCGGGUGCUUACUCUGGGUAGGGAGAAGAGUGGCUUGUCCUCCAGGGGCCUUGGCCCAAGUUGGGAGAAAGGCAUAUGUACAUAUAUAUGUCUGUCUCUCCGUCUCAGGCCUAACGGAUAGGAUCAGGUGCUAAGACCUUUGACGGGGGUUUUGAAAUUUUAGAGCAUUACAGAAAAAAAAAGGAGUCUGCAGAGAACUUUAAUCUUAGUGUAGAGGAACAUGCAAUGUAGAAAUGAAACUAAAUACCGCAUUUAAAACAUUCAGAAAAGCAGCUGGAGAACUGAGAUAUAGGACAUAACUCCUCUGAGGUUUUUAAAGACCUCAUAUGGAGGGGGACGUGGAUUUGGGGGAGGCGGUUGGUCAGGGGAGAGGAGUAUUCUAAAUUUUUGACAACCUUCCAUUUCAGAAUACACAGCAAGAGCUCAGGGCUCUGGCCUUUGGCCUGUGCCUUGAGUACUACCAGAGUGACACUGGGAAGACAUGUCUCAAUGCUUUCAUCCCCUGAAGCCGUUUUGAGAGUUUUUAGUGACCUCACUUAUAAAUGCUGGCUUCUGUCCUCACUCCCCACAUUCAUCCUCAAAGCAGUGGGUCUGACUGUCCCACACCCCCGUGAGUGCUGCAGCUCAUGUGUAGCUAUAGGGUGAGCAGGUGCUGGGCUGUCUUGCCUGGGGGCGGUGUGGCCAAGAUUGGCCUGUGAAAGAAUGCUGCUUUUUGGGAUGGGGCAGCAGCAGCUGGGUGUUUGUGAGGCCAAAAUCAUGGUCAGAACUGACCUUGGCCUUGUGGGCACUAUGACCACUUUGGGCAAUGAAGCAAUAGGUUCCAUUCUGUGCAUGGCAUCAUUGAAGAUGUGGAAAUUCCAUGGAUUGUGACCUUAUCCAGUUGACUGGGACUUUGUCACUCAUAAGUCUUAGUCUGUCUUUGAAAUUGAAGACAGGGGUUUUUUUGUUGUUAAAAAAAUGUUUUGAGAUAUAAUCGAUACACCAUAAAAGUCACCCUUUUAAUGUGUGCAAUUCAGUGAUUUUUAGUAUGCUCAGGGUUGUGCAACCAUCAACAAACCAUUUAAGAGCAUUUCCAUUACUCUGGAAAGUAUGUGGGUACCCGUUACCAUUCAUUCCCCAUUUUCUCUGAACCCUCGGCCUAUGGCAACAACUGAUCUACUUUCUUUCUCUAUGGAUUUGCCUAUUCUGGACAUUUUGUGUAAAUGGAAUCAUACAGUAUAUGGCGUUUUGUGUUUGGCUUCAUUCAUAGUGUUCCUGAGGCUCAUCCACGUUGUAGCAUGUAUCAGAACUUCAUUACCUUUUUUUUUUUUAAAGAUUUUAUUUUUAAGUCCUCUCCACCCAGUAUGGAGCUUGAACCCACAAACUCGAGAUCGAGAGUUGCAUGCCUACUGACCGAGCCAGCUAAGCUCCCCAAAGCUUCAUUACUUUUUAUAGCCAAAUGGUAUUCCAUUGUAUGGAGGAGAUAACACGUUUUAUUUAUCCGUUCAUCAGCUGAUGGACAUUUGGGUUUCCACUCUUUGGCUACUAUCAGUAAUACUGCUAUUCACGUACAGGUGUUCGUGUGGCUUAACUUUUCAUUUCUCUUAGGUGGAACUGCCAGGUCAAGUAUCUGUGUGGACGUAGGUUUUAAUUUUUUCCGGUAUCCACCUAGGUGUAGAAUUGCUGGGUUACACACUAACUCUAUGUUUCACUGUUUGAGGAACCCCCUGAGUGUUUUCCACAGUGACUGUAGCAUUUCACAUCCCCAGCAGCAUGUAUGAGGGCUCUGGUUUCUGCCCAUCCUUGCCAGCACUUGUUAAUGUCCAGUUUAAAAAAUUCUAGCCAUCCUAGUAUUAUUGUCUGUCCAGUUUUAAAAAUUCUAGCCAUUGUAGUGGGUGGGAAGUAGUAUCUCAUUUUGGGUUUCACUUGUGUUUCCAUGACGACUAAUGACAUGAAGCAUCUUUACAUGUGCUUUUUGGCCAUUUAUCUGUCUUGUCUGGAGAAAUCUCUGUUCAAGUACCUUGUCCAUUUUUUAAUUCGCUUAUUUUUUUUUUUUAUUGAGCUGGAGACAAAUUUGUUUUGGUCAUUCGUUUACAUGGGCUUCCUUUAAUUAAUUAAGGCCUGGAGACAGAAGAUGAACAGCAAGAAGCUAAGUGCUGGUGGAUUUCUGGCCCAGGCCCUGCCUGCAAAAGAUGAAACGUUUCUCUGUUUUAGUUCUAGUUCGUGUGUGCCCGACCACUUUGAAUGAUGAAGAUUUACAGGCUAGUGAUAUGAAUGUUAAAUCCUCUGUGUGUGCAGCCUUCAUGACUCCUGUUUCUUGCAUUUCAAGAGCUGACAGCGUUACAUGUUUUGUUUUCAAAGACAUGCAGGGGGCCGGACGGACAGCUCCAUGCCAACCUGCUUUGCCCUGUGGAUGUGGCGGAUGUGCCGGAGGGCACCUUGCCUGACAAACAGAGCACCGAGCAAGCUAUACGGUUGUUGGAAAAGAUGAAAACAUCAGCCAGUCCUUUCUUCCUGGCUGUUGGGUAUCACAAGCCACACAUCCCCUUCAGAUACCCCAAGGUGAAGAUCUGGCUGAGGGUUGAUCCAGCACAGCUGUGACAGCUCUGUCCUUUCUCGAAGGAGAGAUUAGUGUAGUGAGGGCGGCCACAUCCUGCCGGCCCUGUCGCUGGGGUGCCUGAUGGCACUACUGUACUCAGUGGUGUGGAGAUGGGAUGCAGAGGUCAAGGCUAAGAAGUAGACUUGGGGUAUGUAAGAAUCUUGUUGGAAAUGCUUGGUUUUCUGCCUCCCCCACUGGAGGGUUUUAGUUUUUUUCUCUUGGACUCCGUGAGCAUGUGCUGGGUUGGAUGGUAAGAUCACCAGAGAGAAGGGAGUCAGAGCUGGCUGCCAAGGCCCUCGGUAAGGGAUGGUCCUUGGGGGCACGGUUCCAAGGAACGUGAAGCCGUGUUCAGUAGUUGGCGCUCCCCCUGAGCCUGGUGGGUCAGAUCCCUUCAACACAGGGCACUGCUUGCAUGUCCGUCAUUCAGAGCAUGUAGUCUCUGCUGUUUAAAAAUCCUUUUCAGUUUUUCCCUGUCGCUGUCGUGUCUUCCCUAGGCCUAAGCAGCCCGUUCUUUUGACUUUGUAAAGAAUGCCCCUCACUAGUGAUGGAUGUAGAGAGCAAAAGACAUGUUCUUUGAUGCUCUGACUGGCGCAGGGGAUCUGGCCCUCCCAGCCGGGGUUAACCUGGCAGGCCUGGCUGCUCUCCUUAGAAAGGUCUGCUUGCGAGGCUGGGCUUUGGCUGGCCUCUGGGAAGCUGGAGUUGGCACCGCUCCCAGAGCGAUGAGUGGCUUUCUGUGCCCAAACUGUUGACGCAAACCCCCGCUCUCCUGCCUGGAGUCUGCAGUUUGGGUAUGUGAGGGCAGAGGGUGCCCGGGGGAGUGACCCCAGGAAGCAGCCCGGGUGCUGAGGCUUUAACGAGCUUCCGUGCCGGCAGCAUUUCACACAUGUUGGCACACCGCUCCCUGCUGGGAGGAUUAAGCACAUCCUGUGUGACCUCACUGGGAGAGGAUUCUGGAAACUUGUGCCUGGUCUCCCUUGGGCAUUGCCCACGUGGCUUUGCUGAUUGUGUCUGCUGCCCUUGCGCUGUCAUCAGGCACAACCACGGGCGUGCCUGAGCACGUUCUGUGAGCAACUCCCAGGGUGUUGUCAAACCGGAGGGAGGUUUUGGGAACUGGAAACACCCUUCCGCGCCUUUUCCACUUGGAGGGGAGGUGGGAAGUGGGGAUGGGAAUAGGAGGGUAUUGAUAUAUAGGAGAAAAGAGAGCCAUUGCUGCUUGGUUCAUAGAAAACGAGUGGCGAUAUCAUUACCAUUGGCAUCUUGUGAGUGUGACCUCAAGUCUGACUUUGUAGUGUCAGUGAGCUGCCGUGUAAGUGCAUCACAGGCUUAAAAAGGCAGUAUAAAUAUCUGUAGAGUCCCAGCCUUGUGCCUCUGCCAGAAAAGAAUGACAACCUGGUGUCUUUGUGUGCUUUUCCCCCAAGGAAUUUCAGAAGCUGUAUCCCUUGGAGAACAUCACCCUGGCUCCCGAUCCCCAGGUGCCUGCUGGCCUCCCUCCUGUGGCCUACAACCCUUGGAUGGACAUCAGGCAGCGGGAGGACGUGCAAGCCUUGAACCUCAGUGUGCCCUAUGGCCCAAUUCCUGUGGAUUUUCAGGUACCAAGGACAUAUUUGAGGGAAUUAUUGGGCACUUCUGGUGUGAUGUCAUUGGUGACACCACUUUUCUCCAUAGACACCACUCUACCCAUCAUGUCUUCCUAAGAAUCUUCUCUGUGCUAGGUGUCUUGUGAGGUGCUGAGGGUGGGGUGGUCUGGAGGAAUUUCGGAUGUAGGGGGUGCUGAGUGGAUGUAGUCUCCCAAUCAGUGUCUCCACUUCCAAAGAAGGAGGCAUCUGGAGAUUUGGUGAUUCACAGGACGUAGGCACCGGGGUAGGGAGGAGGCCUGGACGACCAUCACUAACUCAUGGGGGUGCUGUUCAAUCCAGGUGACAGCUCAUCAGCUAUGGGACGGCGGGCAGCUCCUGUGUAGCCCAGAAUGUUUGUUUUGCUGGCACUGGCAGGUCCUCUCUGUGGGGAAGCCUGCACAGGUACCCAUCACUCUCAGGCGGUGGUGUGGUGGGCAGGGCCUUGACACAGAGGGAGCUGGGGCACCGACGUGGCUGUCCCGCUGCGACAUCUGAUGUCCCUUUGCCAUCGCGUGGGGGUGGAGCAGCCAGACUUAGAAUCCUCAUGCUGACUCAUCAGUCACCCUCCCCCCGGAGUACAGAAACCGUGCUGACCAAUGCUCUUUCUGGACUAUUCCACACGCAGCCCUGCCCUUCUGUUACUAUGUGAAUACACCAAUAGGCAAUUUACCAUGGAAGGUAGACGGCAGUGUUUUUAAAGGCUGCUUCCUGGACCGCCUGCAUCAGAAUCCCCACAGGGGCUUCUUAUAAGCAGAGUCCUGGCGUCACUCAGACUUAGGGAGUUGGGAGCUUGAAGUGGGUCCUGAGAACUUGCAUUUGCAAAAGCACACCUGGCGAUUCUGAUGCACUCAGAGGUUUGGAAAUACUGCUACAGGGCACAGUUCCAAACACCACAAAAGGGUGAGGGAUGUGCGCCCCUUGUAUCUGUUGGACUCCUGAGGUUCGGAGGGCAGUGGUGAGAGUUUGGAGAGGAGUAGAUUCACCACUUGGUCCCAUUCCUAACUUCCCGAUGCCGGGGUUCUGAGAGCAAGGCUGCGCGAAUUGCAGCUCUGAGGCCACACCUGGAUGUUAGUGACGGCCACUUAAAAUGUUCUUGAAAUGGGACUGUGUCCCAGGAAGGGUGCCCAGUGUUUUAUGUUGCUAUCUCGCUUGGUCUGCAUGGGAAGCUAGUGAGGUACCUGCCGUUGCUGUUGUCCAGGCUUCUCAGUGGUCUGGGUUCGAAUUCCCGUUCUGCCCCAUACCAGCUGCACAACCCAUGGCAAGUCAUUUUACGUCUCUGAGCCUCAGCUUCCUUCUCUGUAAAAUGGAAACGAGGUGGAGAAAGGUUUUCAGCAGGGAGCACAGAGCACAUACGAAAGCGUCUAAGUGCGAGCUGCGUGUGAGGGCUCCUUCAGGUGCUCUCCUCCCCUCCCCACACCCCUCCUCACGGGUGGUGCAGCCGCCCAGAGGACCUCCCUGGUGUGCUUGUGUGCUCCUGCCUCUGCACACUCACCUUGAACUUGGGCCCUGCUCACUGUCCUCUUGCAGCUUUGGGUGUCUGUGCCCAGGCCGCAUCUCACUCCACUCUUGAGUAUCUCAAUUCUGCCCUCUCCAGCCUCUGGCCCUCUUCCUCAGCUCCACAUGAGCCAGUGGCCUCAGGGGCCACACUCGGGGUUUGCCACCUCCCGGGUCCACUCCUGCUCGGUCAUCACCCCGACUGACCGCAGUCUCUUCUUCUCACAGCUCCCUCGCUCCAUGUCUCCGUUCUCCACAUGCCUCAUGGGGAUUGUGAGUGUGGCCCUCUCCUCUCCCCUUGGGUCCUGUCCCCUCUGGAGUCUCCUCCUGGGCAGGUCGCUUACUGUUCUUGCCAGCUCCUCAGUACACUGGUGCUCCGAUCCUUGCCUCACCUGCAGUGCUCCGAUCACACAAUGGUCCCACCACCCACUCUGCUCUGAAACCCAAGUCCUGAGGCUGCUGGAGUGAACCUGGGCAGCCAUGAGAUGGAGACACGCUCAUGGGCCCAGCCUCCAGCCCCAGCAGCCCAUCCAUGGGGGCUCUCUGCUCAGAACUCCCUUGACCUGUGUGGCCGCUCAGAACCCGUGCCACUCUCCUCCUGCCCCUUCUACCCCUCUGCCCCAUCUCUCGGCAGAUGAUGCCACUUGGGAUUUCAGAAAUGGAGGCUGGUGGACAGCCCCGGGGAUGGGACACCCAGGAUGAGUGUGGGUACUGACCUGGGCCAUGUCCCCCUGGCCAGCUGUGUGUCUCCAGGCAAGUUAAUCCACCUCUCCGAGCCCUGGAAUCUUCCCGUGUCAUAUGGGAAUGUUAGUGCUCACCGUAAAGGGUGGCUCCGAGGAUCGGGUGGCACCCGGCAAAUAUUUGGUAAACAGCGCUGUUGGUAAUGCCCCUUACCGGUCGCCAGAAUCGUGCAUGCUCGUGUGCUGGGCUGUGGCCAUCUCCCUCAUCUCGGAAGAAGAACAGCAGGGACCACCCCCACCCCACCCCCUCGUCCCAUCGCCAUGAGCUCCUCCUUCCUCAGAAUGGAACCUUGUUUGGAAUCAGGGUCAUUGCAGAUGUCAUUAGUUAAAAUGAGGUCAUACUGGAGGGGCACCUGGGUGGCUUAGUUGGUUAAGCAUCUGAUUUUGGCCCAGGUGAUGAUUUUGCGGUUUCGCGAGUUCAAGCCCCAUGUCAGGCUCUACGAUACAGCACAGAACCUGCUUGGGAUUCUCUCUCUCCCUCUCCCUCUCUCUGUCUCUCUGCACUUCCCCUGCUUGUGUGCAUUUUCUCUCUCUUCUCUCUCUCUCAAAAAUAAACAUUUUUUUUUUUUUUUAAAAAUGAGGUCAUACUGGAGUCGUAUGAUCUGUGUUCUUGUACACAGGAAGAAGGCCAUGUGAGGAGGGAGGCAGAGAUUGGGGUGAUGUGGCCACAAGCCCAUGGGCACCAAGGAUGCCGGGCACCAGCAUAAGCUGGAAGAGGCAGCCCCCUCCCUCAGAGCUGGCAGAGAGAACCUGGCUCUGCCGACACCUGGAUCUCGGACUCUGGCCACCGGAACUGGGAGACAGAACAUUUCUAUUGUUCUAAGCCCCCCAGUUUCUGGUCCUUUGGGAGUGAAUAGAGCUUUGGUGGGGUCUUUGGUGCCACCCUCAGUGGGAGUUUGGAGUGCCUGGGGGAUGAGUUUCAGUGUACGGGGCCAUUUCCUGGGACCCGUAAGAUUAUGUGAAGGAGACAGAAGGGGAUAGUAAGUGGCACAUCCAUCUGCUGUGAUCUGUGCCCUAAAGUGAAAUCUGAUUCACUUAGAAAAUAAUCUUCCUUUUGGAUCUGCUGCGGACCCAGAUUUCGCUGGGACCAUGUGGGCAAGGGGCUAUGGAUGGUGGGGAAACACACGUUAUGUUUUGGCUGAGAGAGUUAAGGGCGUCAGUGGCGGAAUGCUCAGGUGACACUCUUCUGUGUACCACUGCAAUUCCAAUUGCACUCACUCUCUUUUUUUUAAUGUGCAGCGGAAAAUCCGCCAGAGCUACUUUGCCUCUGUUUCGUAUUUGGAUACACAGGUUGGCCACCUUUUGAGUGCUUUGGAUGAUCUCCAGCUGACCAAUAGCACAAUCAUUGCAUUUGCCUCAGAUCAUGGUAAGCAUUUUCAAAUACCUUGGUGAGUCACGCAAAACAUGGGAACUUUUCUGUGAAAUGUGCUUUUCUAGAUUGCCUUAAACAUAGGCGUGUUCUCUUUUGAGAAUCAGCAGUGCCCCAAGUCUGGGGUCUCAGGGUGCUUUUAUGAUUGUCCUAUUAGUCCUGAGACCUCUCUCCGUGGGGGCGGGGCCUCUUUUGGGUACAAGGAGCGUCUUGGAUGCUUGGGAGGGGACCUGAUAGCAACCUUUUUUUUUUUAUUGAUGAACUCAGCAGGAACCCUCCAUUUGUGUCGGGAGCCCUUUUAACCCAUGCUGCUCAUCUAGACUGUUAGAGGAUUUCAGUUUUUCUUAGGAGGAUCCAGAAGAAUCCUGGCAGGGCCCCACAAGGCCCUCAGACCUGACUGCACCCCUCUAUUCCCAGCCCUGAUGUUCUCUCUGCCAAGAGCCUGGGGCUCGCAGUGCUUUCUCUCUUUUAAUUAAGGCAGUUUCCUACUUUUCCAAAAAUGGAAACAGUUUAUUUAAAACUUUUUUUCUUAAUUUGAAAUUUUUAUCAAGCUGAAGAAUAGAGGCUAAACAACACCCCCCAGUCCCCAUCACCCUGCUCCCACAUGCCCGAGGCUAACUGGUGCUGACAGAUCUGGGAUCCGUUUGGCAGCCUUUGGUUGUACAUAUACAUGUGGCGGUGGAGUGUGUGUGUGUGUGUGUGUCAUAUAUAGUCAUGGAACAAGGCAGAAUCGAUUGUGCUUAUAAACUGUUUUGUUCCCUAGUUUGCUUUUUCCACCUAAUGUCACAGACAGUUCUCCAUGUGAUUUCUCACAGGCCUGCCUUAAGCCUUGUAAAGUCCCACAUCAUUUUGUCUUCUGUGGAGGCAUCCUAAGUUUUCGCUGUUUCCUGAUGGUUUGCCAUCCCCUCCGGCCCCUCUUUCCCAUGCCCAGUUCCUCUUCCAGUGCUCACACAGUCUGGUGCACCCAUGAAGGCCAGGCCCACAUGGAAGCUCUCUUUGCUCUGAGGCAGCUGCACUGAUGACAGAUGGCCCUCCUGAGACUUCCCACCUCCCAACCACAAAAGCCUUCUCCAAUCCAUACAUGGCAGCUUGAUGUGGCUUUGGUUAUUUUGUAACACGAACUACUCAAUGUGCAAUCUCUUUCAUCUUUUUUAUGUCAAAACGGGUGCUCUGAUGCAGACAUUAGAAAUUUCCAGCUUGGGGUUUUCAAGCUGUCUUUUGCAAGGGAUGGAUGUUUUAAGUCAGGGUUAAGAGGUUUUUUUUUUGUUUUGUUUUGUUUUUUUAUCAAGGUCAAGGAUCUCAAAUCAAGUUAUAUUUGUUUGGUCUGUGGUAUAUUUUAAAAAUUGAAUAAGCUAUCCUUGUCUUUUUAAAAUGUGAGUGAUAGUGCCACAGUGUCACAGCUCAUUGUUCGGCGGCAUGCCGUCAGGUGCAGACCUGAGCCUGCGGGACUUGUGUCAAGGGAGGCCAGCCCAGGGCUGGGCAGCGGCANNNNNNNNNNNNNNNNNNNNNNNNNNNNNNNNNNNNNNNNNNNNNNNGAGCCCCUCUCAGCAGGGGCGGCAUGUCUGUGCGGGGCCGUGGGUCCCUCAGCACCCAGCUUGGGUGCAAUUGCUAGUUGUUUGCUAAAAGAAGAUAGUUUCAUUUGAGAAUUUAGUAUUUUUUUUCCUUUUAGAGUUUCCUCAUUCAGGACAAAGGUCUAACUUCAAAUAAAGCAAUACUUAGAUUUAGGGGAAGUCCCCUUUUUGUGGUCAUUAUAGAGGAAUUUCUUCUGAUGAGUGUUUGUUUCCUCUGGUUUUUACAACAGGAAAUGAAACGGUAUCUAAAGUGGGCAAUGAAUAAUAUCAUUAUUCGUUUUCUGUCGUUCUGUGCUUUUUAUGACCCAGGGUGGGCUCUAGGUGAACAUGGAGAAUGGGCCAAAUACAGCAAUUUUGACGUCGCUACCCGCGUGCCCCUGAUGUUCUAUGUUCCCGGGAGGACGGCUCCGCUUCCAGAGGCAGGAGAGGAGCUUUUCCCUUACAUCGACCCUUUCGAUUCUGUGUUGGAAUUGAUGGAGCCAGGUAUAAAAUACA